rnacentral:rRNA from 1 species
CAGCCAUCAUUUAAAGAAAGCGUAAUAGCUCACUGGUCGAGUCGGCCUGCGCGGAAGAUGUAACGGGGCUAAACCAUGCACCGAAGCUGCGGCAGCGACACUAUGUGUUGUUGGGUAGGGGAGCGUUCUGUAAGCCUGUGAAGGUGUACUGUGAGGUAUGCUGGAGGUAUCAGAAGUGCGAAUGCUGACAUAAGUAACGAUAAAGCGGGUGAAAAGCCCGCUCGCCGGAAGACCAAGGGUUCCUGUCCAACGUUAAU